rnacentral:rRNA from 1 species
CACAUGCAAGUCGAACGGCAGCACGGGUGCUUGCACCUGGUGGCGAGUGGCGAACGGGUGAGUAAUACAUCGGAACAUGUCCUGUAGUGGGGGAUAGCCCGGCGAAAGCCGGAUUAAUACCGCAUACGAUCUACGGAUGAAAGCGGGGGACCUUCGGGCCUCGCGCUAUAGGGUUGGCCGAUGGCUGAUUAGCUAGUUGGUGGGGUAAAGGCCUACCAAGGCGACGAUCAGUAGCUGGUCUGAGAGGACGACCAGCCACACUGGGACUGAGACACGGCCCAGACUCCUACGGGAGGCAGCAGUGGGGAAUUUUGGACAAUGGGCGAAAGCCUGAUCCAGCAAUGCCGCGUGUGUGAAGAAGGCCUUCGGGUUGUAAAGCACUUUUGUCCGGAAAGAAAUCCUUGGUUCUAAUAUAGCCGGGGGAUGACGGUACCGGAAGAAUAAGCACCGGCUAACUACGUGCCAGCAGCCGCGGUAAUACGUAGGGUGCGAGCGUUAAUCGGAAUUACUGGGCGUAAAGCGUGCGCAGGCGGUUUGCUAAGACCGAUGUGAAAUCCCCGGGCUCAACCUGGGAACUGCAUUGGUGACUGGCAGGCUAGAGUAUGGCAGAGGGGGGUAGAAUUCCACGUGUAGCAGUGAAAUGCGUAGAGAUGUGGAGGAAUACCGAUGGCGAAGGCAGCCCCCUGGGCCAAUACUGACGCUCAUGCAC